rnacentral:lncRNA from 1 species
AGGAAUCGGGAGGAAGCUUAGGGACGUCGGCUUCCAUGGCAGAUGGGGGAGGCGCCCGUCUGGGGCUCGGCGGAGCUGACCGGUGGUGCAGCCAGCGCCGGCGAGCACGAUGGUAGCGGUGGCAGUGGCUGGCAGCGUGGCAGACGGCGAAUCAAGUGGAGGACGAUCGCAGCUUCUCACCGCUGUAGAAGGAGUUUCCAGCGACCAUUUCGGGCGAUUCCAGUCUCAAAAUGACCAGUGAGGUGCAAGCCUUCUUUUCCGGCCUUAAUCGCGUUGUGGGAUUGCCGGAAAAGAAAGUUGCAACGAAGGGAAGUUUUCGUCAACAGCUUGGUUUUUAAGCUUUUCUGGCCAUCUCCGAAUAGGCUUGGCUGGUCAGAGCUCAUUAACGGACUCUCCUAAGCUCAAGCUUCGCAUUGGCACCGGUUUCGUGGCGAUCGGGCUUCGUUUGUAAAUCGACGGCCGAGAUCGUUCGCAAAACUCUCCGGACGAUCGGGUGUCAGAUCGGAAAAUCAGAAGCGGGGAUCGUCGCCAGCGUGUCGUUUCGAGUCCGAUGGUGAGUUCGGAUCGUCGAUCGGACUCCGGCGGCUGGAGGCGAGUCGACCGAGCGAUCGAGCGUCUCGAUAAUUUUCUCUGGCCGUUGAUCUUGGAAAUUCUUUGAUUUAGAAUUGUGCUUAUUGUUUUAUAUUGAGUAUUUAAUAUUUGUGAGUCAAAAAUAAUUGUCUGUCAGUUUACCUGCCUCGUAUUUUGUGCUGUGUGGCGGAGUCGGGAAAUAGUGAAGUAUGGGGACCCGACUCCCGUUGUCUGGAUUGUUGGAUAUUUGUAGUGUUUUUCUGGCAGGUCCUGGACCCGUUUUUAUAGGGGGUAAUGUCCGUGUUGUAGGGAAGGUUCUGCCAGAUUUUCGGUAGAAUUCUCCCGAGUCGAGAUUCUUAGACAGUCAGUCCUAGGAAUCUAGACCUAGGGUCAAUUGUAAUUGUUCAACAUAUUGAUAAAUUGUUUUCCGUGAUUAGAUGAUCUGCCUGUUCGGCUCGCUCCAACCGAUGCACCGGAGCAGAGCUAGGAGGUCGCCCAAAACCUGUGAGUUAAAGUCAUUUAAUCAUUACACUAUUUCUAAGUCUGAUUUUAAUAUGCUAUUUUAGAAUUUGUACUUAAUAUGAUUAUUAGUAUCGCAAAAUAAAUAAUUUUACUUGAUUAUUAAUUAUUGAAAAUAAUAUAAAUAUUAUUAUUAGUAACGUUAUAAUAAUACAUAUAUUAUUAUUUUUUUCGACACAAAUUGCACGUUGCCUUAUCCUAAUUUUUUAAUUUUUAUUUCGAUAUGUGUUGAAUGAUUUCAUUAGACAAUGAUAUUUAUUAAAUGGACAUAAGAUUAUUAUGGAUUUGUUUGCUCUGAUUGAGCAUUGCUCUCUGGGCUGAGUUCAAUUGAUUGUCGGAGUUAAGGUCCCUGAUCGAGCAACGCUCUCUGGGCGCCGGCUUAUUUGGAAUUCAAGUGUUCAGGCUGGAGGUAAGGACCCUGAUCGAGCUUGCUCUCUGGGCGCCAGACCUGUUGGAUUAAGAGAGCCGAAAGGCUACUAGAAUUUGGAGUUAGGGUUCUACUGAGCCACUCGUCCCGUAAAAGUAAAAAUAUAUUUUAUUUAUUUAUUUAUUUAUUAUGGUAUGAUUAUAAUAUGAGUUGUAUUUACGUGCAUGGUUUGAUAUACUGAUUCGAAUAAUUAAUAUUUUCUGUGAAGACUGCAAUAGUCUCUAGAUUACUUGAUUUUAACUCACUCUCGAGACUAACAGUCUCAAUUUAUUUUUUUUCAGAUGCGUGACUGUUAGUUUUCCCGCGACUCUUAUUCAAUAACCCGACUCCUUCAUCAUCGGAUGAUGUAUUUGAUUUGGUAUGUAAAUUGGUAAAUCUUAGAUUCUCCGCAGUAGUAAUAGUAGAUGUAUCAGCUGUAAUUUUCUAUAGUUUCGAGUCUCGCCUAAUUCUUUCGGCAGACCGAUUCAAUUGUGUAACAUUUAAUGUUAAGAUAAUUUAUGGCUUUAAUAAUAUUAAUUUGAGAUGAGAUUUGAUUGAGUUAGUGAGUGUCAAGCUUACUACGGGAUUCGGUGG